GAUUCUUUUGUGCAAAAAUUAAGUUACCUGCUGCCAAGGCUGCCAGACAAAAGUCUAACAACUUCAACAAAACGAUAACAAUAGACGGCGGCGGAUAAAUGCAUAAUCUGUCAAGAGUGUCAUGAGAUUUCAAUCAUUUCCACAAGAAUCGGGCGUAUCAUCGACGUUUCAAUCGAUUGACACACUUGCAGACAGCGGUUUUGCACAGCGCAUCAACUUGACGACACAACAUCAUGCUCAGCUCGUGGAGGAGUGCAGGCAUUGAUUAUGUGAAGUUUUCAUCAAUAUGUGCAUCAAUGACGCGAGAAGCAUUGAAGCCAGAGUUUCGCGCAAAAGCAAAAAAUCGAGAAUCUACAACAUUAAAAAUUACGCCUUGGGUUGAUGGAAAACCACAACUGGAUCAAAAAUAUUAAUUGAUAUGUCGCCUAAUUAAAAAUGAAAAAUAUUUUAAAAA